AUGGAUACGUGGCUUCUAUGCUGGGUGAUUCUUAGUGUCCUGAAAGCAGGACACACACAGCCUAAAGUCACCCAGACCCCAAGCCAUCAGGUCAUAGAGAUGGGACAGAGAGUAAUUUUAAGGUGUGAUCCCAUUUCUGGUCACUUAUACUUCUACUGGUACCAACAGAUCUUGGGGCAGAAAGUGGAGUUUUUGUUUUAUAUCUAUAAUGAUAAUAUCUCAGAGAAGUCUGAAAGACACAGUGGCUCAUACAUCACGCUGAAGAUCCAGCCCACAAAGCUGCAGGACUCUGCUGUGUACUUCUGUGCCAGCAGCUAA